rnacentral:lncRNA from 1 species
AACUGGAAAUAAGAAAGGACUUAUUUGAAAAAAAAAAGAAAACUAUUUCAAAAAUUAAAAAAAUGGAAAAGUGGCCACGUAGGACCGCCACACCAGUAACGCAGCCAGUCAUCGUGUGCCACGUGGCAGACACGCGGAUACGCGUCCACGCAGGAAACCACAAAAACAAUUCACGUGCCAACCGAUCCAAUGGCCCAAAUUCACCCCCACGCACAUGAAUAGCCCAUAUUCGUUUCCCAUUCAGCCUCGAUUGUAUGGUCCAGAUACAUUCGAUCGUGUGGUCCUGAUUCAUUUCUCAAAUAAGAUAGAUCUAACGACGAAGAUUGGGUCACGCAUCCUCGAAUAGACGACCCGAAUUGAAGGAUGAUGAGUAUU